GCAGUCGCCGCGGUAAUACGUAGGGUGCAAGCGUUAAUCGGAAUUACUGGGCGUAAAGCGUGCGCAGGCGGUUAUAUAAGACAGAUGUGAAAUCCCCGGGCUCAACCUGGGAACUGCAUUUGUGACUGUAUAGCUAGAGUACGGCAGAGGGGGAUGGAAUUCCGCGUGUAGCAGUGAAAUGCGUAGAUAUGCGGAGGAACACCGAUGGCGAAGGCAAUCCCCUGGGCCUGUACUGACGCUCAUGCACGAAAGCGUGGGGAGCAAACAGGAUUAGAUACCCCUGUAGUCCCUGUCUCUUAUAC
rnacentral:rRNA from 1 species